UUUUAAAAAAAAACAAAAAAUGUCCAAAAAGAACAACAAAUGCAGGCGAUAUUAACAAGAAACAAAAAUCAACUCACUUGAUUCUUACUAGAUCGAACUGGGUAAUCUUCAUCAAGAAUCUCUAAGCUGCAGUGAACAAGAACAAAUUCCAUCAAGAAUUUCUAAGCUGCAGUGAACAAGAAACAAAAAGCUGAAUGAAGAAGAACAAAUUUCAUCAAGAAUUUCUAAGCAAAGCUAGAUCGAACUGGGUAAUUUUCUUACUGAUCUGUUUUCUAAGUUCCACUAUAGAUCAAUGAUAGAUCUCCUCUCAAGAGUGGAACAAAUUCAGCUACAAAUUGCCUAAGUUUUCAUCUCAAGCUCUAAUUCGCUGCAGUGAUUUGAUAUAUGGAGUAUUUCUUAGAGAAAAUCAGGUCUUUAAUCUUUCAAGAGUAUUACAACUCAUGGACUGCAUCUCAUAUCUACAGAAAGACCAACAUCGUGUUGCUGGAUUGUCUCCGACUACACUCACUCGCAAUUCAUCUGUGGCUCUUGGAUUCUCAGUUUCACUAUCCUUUCCGCUAAGUGAAAUCUUCAAAAAUAUAAAUAUAAUGUUCGAAAUAAGGCACAUGUUGAAGGAUGCAUAUGCAAUGCGUAUAUAGUUGAUGACGGUUCAUCCUUCUGUUCACACUACUUCGAGCCUCAUGUUUACACAAGGCAUAGAAAAGUGCCACGAAAUGACGAUGGUGGUAUAGGCGAACAAGAUAGAUACGAUGGAAAUUUAUUGACUCCCUUCAUCAAAAUUUUCCACGAAUUACGGAGCAGGAAGUGGACAAGAAACUUGAUGAAGAUUUUGCCUCAUGGUUCACAAGAUAUGCUCGAGUCCACAUAGAUAAUCAGUUCAUCAAGGCGCUUGCAGAAGGUCCAUGUCGAUCAGCGAAACCAUACACUGGUUAUAAUGUCAACGACUUUAAAUUUCACACUAAAGGUCGCAGUUUUUCUGAGCAUCUGAUAACAGUGGCGUUUGCAUAAAAGGAACCAAUUAUAGUGCAGACGACAAUGACUACUGUGGUGUGCUUACUGAAAUUCUUGAAUUGGAGUACAAGGGCAGUACAUCGAUCAAAAGAACAGUUUUAUUUAAAUGUGAAUGGUUUGACCUCACACCAAAUGCAGGAAUGAAGAUUCAUCCGCAAUAUAAACUUGUGGAUAUCAACCAUAAAAGGAAAUUGAAGAAGUAUGAACCAUUUGUUUUGGAAAUGCAAGUAGCUCAAGUGUAUUAUGCUUCUUAUCUUAGCUUACGACGUGCUAAGAGUGAUUGGUGGGCUGUGUGCAAAACAAAAGCUCGGGGUAUUGUUGUUAUGCCUCCAUCAUAUUUAUCGUCUCCUCUAGUAGAUGUUGCAGAGCCAUUCCAAUGUGACGGAGAUGGUUUAAGAUUUGAUGUGGUGUACGACAAUGAAAAUAUUGUCCGAAAUGAUCCAAAUGGAGAAUUCAUAAAUUUAAGAAAUGAGAAUGAUGAUUUAGAUGAUGAGACAGAAUUUCAUGAUGAACCAGACUCAGAAUCAGAUGAUGAAAAUGAGAAUGAAGAGGCAUAUUGUGAAAGUGGCAGUGAAUAGAGUCAAAGUGCUUAGCUCUAAUCUCUUCAAAUAUAAGAGUUAGAGUGACUGAAACGUAGUAUAUAAGAUGAUUUUAUUUCAAUUAGAUUUUAUAUUUCUUGCUGACAAAGUUCUGAAUUUUAAAUGUCACCAAUUUAUAUUUCUCUUUUACCAGUAUAAUUAUUUUGUUUUAAUUGUUCUCCAGGUUGUUUUGUUUGAGCAACUAUCCCUCACUCUCAUUUCGUAAUAUGAAGUAGACCAUUCUAGAUCUAUGUUUUGAAUAGUGAUGGAAUAACUUUAUUCCUUGAAGUGUUUAUGUUUUUAUCUAUUGUCUAGGUUAACACUUUUUUUAACUUUUCAGAGGCAUCUUGUUCUUGAAGUGAUAUAUCUACUUAUUACCUGUUCUUGUUAUAAUUUGACCAAACUGGCCAUGAUUCAAUUAUUAAGUUAUUAUUUCAUCCACAUGUAACUUUGAAAUUGCAGAUAUGGCACCAAGGGGGGUGGACGAAGCAGAUAUUUUGGAGAAAGAUCAUCAGAUCCAGUGACAUCUCCUCUAAUGUCUAGUUUCACACCUGAUCAAGCACCAUCAUUGCCUGAAGUGCCGACACCAGUUAUGCCGGAUUCAGUUGUUGUCAACAUAUCGGCACCAUCUUCAUCUGUGGGGAAUAGAAACACCUAGAAAUGACAUUGUAUCUACAACUUCGUCAAAUACAACUGAUGAUACCUGCACCUGAAUUGAAAUAGUCCUGGGACAAUUAAGCUUAGAUAUGAAUCUACGUACUGAACCCAAGUUUGGAGCCAAGUAACGAUGUAUCUCGGGC